AUUAAUAAUACUAUUUUGGCAGAAUUUAAGUGUAAUAGAUUUAGAAUCUAUAUAUAUGAUAUAUAAAUCA
rnacentral:tRNA from 1 species